rnacentral:rRNA from 1 species
CACGUAGGGCGCAAGCGUUGUCCGGAAUUAUUGGGCGUAAAGAGCUCGUAGGCGGUCUGUUGCGUCCGCUGUGAAAACUCGGGGCUUAACCCCGAGCCUGCAGUGGAUACGGGCAGACUAGAGGUAGGUAGGGGAGAAUGGAAUUCCCGGUGUAGCGGUGAAAUGCGCAGAUAUCGGGAGGAACACCGGUGGCGAAGGCGGUUCUCUGGGCCUUACCCUGGACG